UACGUAGGGUGCGAGCGUUGUCCGGAAUUACUGGGCGUAAAGAGCUCGUAGGUGGUUUGUCGCGUUGUUCGUGAAAACUCACAGCUUAACUGUGGGCGUGCGGUCGAUACGGGCAUCACUGGAGUUCGGCAGGGGAGACUGGAAUUCCUGGUGUAGCGGUGAAAUGCGCAGAUAUCAGGAGGAACACCGGUGGCGAAGGCGGGUCUCUGGGCCACUACUGACGCUGAGGAGCGAAAGCGUGGGGAGCGAACAGG
rnacentral:rRNA from 1 species